UACAGAGACCUCAAGCGUUAUCCGGAUUUAUUGGGCGUAAAGCGUCCGCAGGUGGUUUGGCGGGUCAGAGGUUAAAAUUUAUAGCUUAACUAUAAAACUGCUUUUGAAACUACCAAACUCGAGGUUGGGAGAGGUAAGCGGAAUUCUCGGUGUAGUCGUAAUAAGCGCUGAUAUCGAGAAGAACACCAAAUGCGAAGGCAGCUUACUGGAACACACCUGACACUCAGGGACGAAAGCGUGGGGAGCAAACAGG
rnacentral:rRNA from 1 species